GCGGCGCAUUAGCUAGUUGGUGAGAUAAUAGCCCACCAAGGCGAGGAUGCGUAGCCGACCUGAGAGGGUGAUCGGCCACAAUGGAACUGAGAAACGGUCCAUACUCCUACGGGAGGCAGCAGUAGGGAGUUUUCGGCAAUGGGGGGAACCCUGACCGAGCAACGCCGCGUGAGUGAUGAAGGUCUUCGGAUUGUAAAGCUCUGUUGUAGGGGACGAAUGAGUGAUCGAGGAAAUGCGGUCGCUUUGACGGUACUCUACCAGAAAGCCACGGCUAACUACGUGCCAGCAGCCGCGGUAAUACGUAGGUGGCAAGCGUUAUCCGGAAUUAUUGGGCGUAAAGAGUGAGCAGGCGGUUGUCUAAGUCUGGAGUCAAAUGCUGUGGCUUAACCACAGUUCGCUUCAGAAACUAGUCGACUAGAGUGCGAGAGAAGUUUGUGGAAUUCCAUGUGUAGCGGUGAAAUGCGUAGAUAUAUGGAGGAACACCAGUGGCGAAGGCGGCAAACUAGCUCGUAACUGACGCUCAUUCACGAAAGCGUGGGUAGCAAAUAGGAUUAGAUACCCUAGUAGUCCACGCCGUAAACUAUGAGAGCUAAGUGUUGGAGAAAUCCAGUGCUGAAGUUAACGCAUAA
rnacentral:rRNA from 1 species